rnacentral:rRNA from 1 species
GAGUGAGCGGCAAAAGCUCAAAUUUGAAACCCUCGGGAUUGUAAUUUGAAGAUUUGGCAUUGGAGAAAGCUAACCCAAGUUGCUUGGAAUAGUACGUCAUAGAGGGUGACAACCCCGUCUGGCUAACCGUUCUCCAUGUAUUGCCUUAUCAAAGAGUCGAGUUGUUUGGGAAUGCAGCUCAAAGUGGGUGGUAAACUCCAUCUAAAGCUAAAUACUGGUGAGAGACCGAUAGCGAACAAGUACUGUGAAGGAAAGGUGAAAAGAACUUUGAAAAGAGAGUGAAAUAGUAUGUGAAAUUGUUGAUAGGGAAGGAAAUGAGUGGAGAGUGGCCGAGGUUUCAGCCGCCCCUCGUGGGCGGUGUACUGCCGACGCCGAGUCAUCGAUAGCGAGACGAGGGUUACAAAUGGGAGCGCCUUUCGGGCGUUCUCCCCUAACCCUCCACACUGCCACCGACGACAUAAUCCACCCAUUUCACCCGUCUUG